rnacentral:rRNA from 1 species
UACGUAGGGGGCUAGCGUUGUCCGGAAUCAUUGGGCGUAAAGCGCGUGUAGGCGGUUCGGUAAGUCCGCUGUGAAAGUCGGGGGCUCAACCCUCGGAAGCCGGUGGAUACUGUCGGGCUAGAGUACGGAAGAGGCGAGUGGAAUUCCUGGUGUAGCGGUGAAAUGCGCAGAUAUCAGGAGGAACACCAAUUGCGAAGGCAGCUCGCUGGGACGUUACUGACGCUGAGACGCGAAAGCGUGGGGAGCAAACAGG